ACGCUCGACACCUACGGGAGGCAGCAGUGGGAAUAUUGCACAAUGGGGGAAACCCUGAUGCAGCGACGCCGCGUGAGCGAAGAAGUAUUUCGGUAUGUAAAGCUCUAUCAGCAGGGAAGAAACUGACGGUACCUGACUAAGAAGCACCGGCUAAAUACGUGCCCGCAGCCGCGGUAAUCUGAGCGGGCUGGCAAGGC
rnacentral:rRNA from 1 species